rnacentral:lncRNA from 1 species
GGCCAUUUUGACCCUAUUUAGGGCCAUUUUAUCCCCAUUUAGGGCCAUUUUAUCCCCAUUUAGGGUCCCUUGACCCCAUUUAGGGCCAUUUUAUCCCCAUUUAGGGCCAUUUUGACCCCAUUUAGGGCCACUCUAUCCCCAUUUAGGGUCCCUCCAACCCCAUUAGAACCCCCCGACCCCAUUUAAGGCCAUUCCAACCCCAUUAGAACCCAUCUAUCCCCAUUUAGGGCCACUCCAACCCCAUUUAGAACCACCCUGACCCCAUUUAAGGCCACUCCAACCCCAUUAGAACCCCUGUGACCCCAUUUAGAACCCCUAUAUCCCCAUUUAGGGUCCCUCUAACCCCAUUUAGGACCACUCCAACCCCAUUCAGAACCCCUAUAUCCCCAUUUAUGGCCCCAUUUAGGACCCCCCCCCACCUCAGUCUCCGUCUCCAGCUCCGUCUCGUUCCCAGGCUGCGGCUCCGGCUCCAUCCCGGGCUGCAGCUCAGGCUCCUGCAUGGCCCCAACCUGCAACCGGCAUCGACGUCAGCAUCAACAGCCUCCAGCAUCACAGGCUCCAGCAUCCCAGGCUCCAGCAUCCCCCACCCCUCCAUCAUCCCCCAUCCCAGCCUCUAAUCUGCCUCCAUCAUCCCAUACUCCAUCAUCCCAGGCUCCAUCAUCCCAGGCUCCAUCAUCCCCCACCCCAGCCUCCAAACUGCCUCCAUCAUACCAGGCUCCAUCAUCCCAGCCUACACCCCUCCAUCAUCCCAGCCUCCAUCAUCCCAUACUCCAUCAUACCAGGCUCCAUCAUCCCACCCUACAUCCCAGCCUCCAUCAUCCCAUCCUUCCAUCCAUCCCUCCAUCCCAUCCUCCAUCAUCCUCCAUGAUCCCAGCCUCCAUCAUCCCGGCCUCCAUCCUCCCCAGCAGUGCCCUGAGCUCCCUCAUCACGUGUUGUGCCACAGCCAGACGCAGUCGGGGCUCCCCCCCCCACCCCUGAGCCGGGCCUCUGCUCCAAAUCGUUGCAAAUGUGGAACGUCCGCGACGAGCUCCAGGCUGCCGGGGGUACCCAGAUAGACAGGCCGGGUUAGAUGGGCGUUAUAUGGGGGGAAUAUGCGAGAUUAUGUGGGUCUAUAUGGGGGAUAUAUGGGGUUAUAUGGGGAGAUAUAUGGGGUUAUAUGGGGUUGAAUGAGGUUAGAUGGGGAACUCAUAAUGGGGUUUACUGGGGUAUAUGGGGGGGAUAUGGGAUUAUAUGGGGUAAUAUAUGGGGUUAUAUGGGGUUAGAUGGAAGAUAUAUGGGGUUAUAUGGAGUUACAUAUGGUUAGAUAGGGAUAUAUGGGAGAUAUAUAGGAUCAUAUGAGAUUAUAUAAGGUUAAAUAGGGGAUAUAUGGGAGAUAUAUAGGGUUAUAUGGGAAAUUAGUAAGACUAGGAGCGGAAUUGGGUUAUAAUGGGGUUUAUAAUGGUGAGAUAUAUGGGUUUAUUGGGGUUAAUAUGGGGGAAUAUGGGGUU